rnacentral:rRNA from 1 species
UACGAAGGGGGCUAGCGUUGCUCGGAAUUACUGGGCGUAAAGGGCGCGUAGGCGGCGAACCAAGUCAGAUGUGAAAGUCCUGGGCUUAACCUGGGGACUGCAUUUGAUACUGGUUUGCUUGAAUUCGGGAGAGGAUAGCGGAAUUCCCAGUGUAGAGGUGAAAUUCGUAGAUAUUCGGAAGAACACCAGUGGCGAAGGCGGCUCACUGGUCCGGUACUGACGCUGAUGUGCGAAAGCGUGGGGAGCAAACAGG